rnacentral:rRNA from 1 species
GAUGAACGCUGGCGGCGUGCCUAAUACAUGCAAGUCGAGCGAACAGACGAGGAGCUUGCUCCUCUGACGUUAGCGGCGGACGGGUGAGUAACACGUGGAUAACCUACCUAUAAGACUGGGAUAACUUCGGGAAACCGGAGCUAAUACCGGAUAAUAUAUUGAACCGCAUGGUUCAAUAGUGAAAGACGGUUUUGCUGUCACUUAUAGAUGGAUCCGCGCCGCAUUAGCUAGUUGGUAAGGUAACGGCUUACCAAGGCAACGAUGCGUAGCCGACCUGAGAGGGUGAUCGGCCGCACUGGAACUGAGACACGGUCCAGACUCCUACGGGAGGCAGCAGUAGGGAAUCUUCCGCAAUGGGCGAAAGCUUGACGGAGCAACGCCGCGUGAGUGAUGAAGGUCUUCGGAUCGUAAAACUCUGUUAUUAGGGAAGAACAAAUGUGUAAGUAACUAUGCACGUCUUGACGGUACCUAAUCAGAAAGCCACGGCUAACUACGUG